rnacentral:rRNA from 1 species
AUUGAACGCUGGCGGCAUGCCUUACACAUGCAAGUCGAACGGUAACAGGUCUUCGGAUGCUGACGAGUGGCGAACGGGUGAGUAAUACAUCGGAACGUGCCCGAUCGUGGGGGAUAACGGAGCGAAAGCUUUGCUAAUACCGCAUACGAUCUACGGAUGAAAGCAGGGGACCGCAAGGCCUUGCGCGGACGGAGCGGCCGAUGGCAGAUUAGGUAGUUGGUGGGAUAAAAGCUUACCAAACCGACGAUCUGUAGCUGGUCUGAGAGGACGACCAGCCACACUGGGACUGAGACACGGCCCAGACUCCUACGGGAGGCAGCAGUGGGGAAUUUGGACAAUGGGCGAAAGCCUGAUCCAGCCAUGCCGCGUGCAGGAUGAAGGCCUUCGGGUUGUAACUGCUUUUGUACGGAACGAAAAGACUCCUUCUAAUAAAGGGGUCCAUAGACGGUAACCGUAAGAAUAAGCACCGGCUAACUACGUGCCAGCAGCCGACGGUAAAAUAGACGUACC